rfam:Oryza glaberrima chromosome 4 Oglab04_0138_2, whole genome shotgun sequence.
AAUAAAUAUAGUUUUGCACUAUUCACGUUCAACGUUUGACCGUUCAUCUUAUUUAAAAAAAUUUUAUGAUUACUAUUUUUAUUGUUAUUACAUGAUAAAAUAUAAAUAGUACUUAAUGUGUGACUAAAUAUUUUUAAAUUUUUCAUAAAUUUUUUAAAUAAGACGGAUGGUCAAACGUUGAGCACGGAUAUCCACGGCUGCACUUAUU